GCCCGGGUAGCCCAACCGGUAGAGGCAGGGGACUUAAAAUCCCCCGAGUGUGGGUUCGAAUCCCACCCCGGGUACCA
rnacentral:tRNA from 1 species